rnacentral:rRNA from 1 species
GAUGAACGCUGACAGAAUGCUUAACACAUGCAAGUCUACUUGAAUUUGGGUUUUUUAACUUAGAUUUGGGUGGCGGACGGGUGAGUAACGCGUAAAGAACUUGCCUCACAGCUAGGGACAACAUUUGGAAACGAAUGCUAAUACCUGAUAUUAUGAUUAUAAGGCAUCUUAGAAUUAUGAAAGCUAUAUGCGCUGUGAGAGAGCUUUGCGUCCCAUUAGCUAGUUGGAGAGGUAACGGCUCACCAAGGCGAUGAUGGGUAGCCGGCCUGAGAGGGUGAACGGCAACAAGGGGACUGAGACACGGCCCUUACUCCUACGGGAGGCAGCAGUGGGGAAUAUUGGACAAUGGACCAAGAGUCUGAUCCAGCAAUUCUGUGUGCACGAUGACGUUUUUCGGAAUGUAAAGUGCUUUCAGUUGGGAAGAAAAAAAUGACGGUACCAACAGAAGAAGUGACGGCUAAAUACGUG